UUAUCUUAAAAUAAACACAGUUUGCAAGCGAUAAUCAACAAUUUUUCAUUCGGAUGCUCAGUCCUCCUGAAAUUGCAACUAAACUUACACAAACCGUUGUUGAGCAUUGUGUAAAGGCUGUAAACCAUCGAGAGCAUAAUCAACAUGAGUGAAUUAAUGGACACAACACCAAUUGAACAAGUCUCGACAAACGCUUCCCAACUCAAUUCCAAUAACAUGCGAAUGAUGGAAACGGCACAAUCAAAUUCAUCGCCUAAAAGCGCAUCAUCAUCAUUAGCAGCGAAUCACCCAAAUGUAACAUUUCGUGACAAAAAAAAUAUAGCACAAUUAAGUUGCGUGGAAAGAAAACGACGCUCCCGACAUAGACUUUCAAGCGGACAAAGUAAAACCAUGUUUCACAGCCAAGACGACCUGGAUAAAAUGCUUCAGAACGAAAAUUGAUGCACAGUGCAAAUAACAUUCGCCAUUAUCUACUAGUCAACGCAAUCAUUCAAUAAACAGUAUUGUAAUUUUCACCGGUCGUGCAACGCAUUGCAUCUGUAGUUGACACGAUGACACAUGGUGAACACAUUACACACGCAUAAAUUCGACAAUUUAAUAGAAAACAAUAUUAAUUAUAUAUUCGAGUGCGCAUAUCAUGGCACGUUCAUUAAUUUUCGUAGUUUAUUAUUACACAUGCAACGAGUAAACAGGUGUGCACGUGUCAUAUCCACGAAUUUAUGUUUAAAUAAAUCGGAUGAAGUGUACGCCGAUUCGUUUGGGUUUUAGUUUUCCACAAUUGGGUAAUUUUGUGAGAUAAUACGCAACGUGCUGGCGUAUUUGCAGCGGCAUGCUAUACAAAUCAUUUCGAAUUGAAUAAUGAAUGCGUGUGACGGGUGUGUGCGAUGGUUCAACGUGUGUCUCAAUAUAUGAAACGCAAAUUAAACUAAACACAAGUUGAGGUUACAAUGGUUACAAUGAAAUGACACAUAACUGUAGUGAGAUAAUGUUAAUUAUAAAUACAAACAAAUAAAUUACA